rnacentral:piRNA from 1 species
GCCGCCAAUGGGGUAACUUUUUUU